UAACAUAAAAACCCAGCCCCACCGGCUGAAAUGCGUUCCCUGCCCGCUAGGCAGUCAAGCUAACAUAAAAACCCAGCCCCACCGGCUGUAAUGCGUUCCCUGCCCGCUAGGCAGUCAAGCAAACAUAAACCGCGUUCCCUGCCCGCUAGGCAGUCAAGCAAACAUAAACCGCGUUCCCUGCCCGCUAGGCAGUCAAGCAAACAUGUAAAAUGCGUUCCCUGCCCGCUAGGCAGUCAAGCAAACAUAUAAAAUGCGUUCCCUG